GGUUACUGCUAUCGGUGUUCGCCUAAGCCAUGCGAGUCAUAUGUUCGUAAGAACAUGGCGUACUGCUCAGUAACACGUGGAUAACCUGCCCUUGGGUCCGGCAUAACCCCGGGAAACUGGGGAUAAUUCCGGAUAACGCACAUAUGCUGGAAUGCUUUAUGCGUAAAAUGGAUUCGUCUGCCCAAGGAUGGGUCUGCGGCCUAUCAGGUAGUAGUGGGUGUAAUGUACCUACUAGCCUACGACGGGUACGGGUUGUGAGAGCAAGAGCCCGGAGAUGGAUUCUGAGACAUGAAUCCAGGCCCUACGGGGCGCAGCAGGCGCGAAAAUUUUACAAUGCGGGAAACCGUGAUAAGGGGACACCGAGUGCCAGCAUCCUAUGCUGGCUGUCCGGGUGUGUAAAAUACACCUGUUAGCAAGGGCCGGGCAAGACCGGUGCCAGCCGCCGCGGCAACACCGGCGGCCCGAGUGGUGAUCGUGAUUAUUGGGUCUAAAGGGUCCGUAGCCGGUUUGGUCAGUCCUCCGGGAAAUCUGACAGCUUAACUGUUAGGCUUUCGGAGGAUACUGCCAGACUUGGAACCGGGAGAGGUAAGAGGUACUACAGGGGUAGGAGUGAAAUCUUGUAAUCCCUGUGGGACCACCUGUGGCGAAGGCGUCUUACCAGAACGGGUUCGACGGUG
rnacentral:rRNA from 1 species